rnacentral:ncRNA from 1 species
GAAACCUCAUCUUGCACACGCCAUCCGGGCGCCAGAGCAGUGUUUUUUAUAAAACACGGACAUUCCGUCCGGGUGAGGAGAAAGG